GAAGGCAGGACAUGUGGUUGAGUGACUGGAGAAGGGAGCAGAUAAUGGCAAGACUUCAUUCUUUGUCCACAAACAGAAGAGUGUGGAUCGCAAACUAAUCAGCAGGCAGACCAACAAGCUAAAAUUUCUACUAUUACUGCCGACUCAGACCUGGAAGAAGUAGAUUGGGCUGCAAUCACACAAUGGGUGCAUCACCAGUGCGGACACCUAGGCGUACAGGGAACCAUGGCUUGGGGAGUGUAAAGAAGGAUGUUACCCCAGGAUGCAGUUCAGACAAUUUUAUCCCAAUGCACUACAUGCCAACAGUUAAAAACCAAGCCAAUUCCUCAAAGGGCUAUGGGGCACAUUCACCGGGGAAAAAUGCCAGGACAAAUUUGUCAAAUGGACUAUAUUUGUCCCUUGCCACUUUCUAAAGGGUGCCAAUAUAUAUGUACUGCUGUAGACACCUACUUAGGGCUCCUAGUAGCCUGUGCUUAUGCUAAUGCUAACCAAAUUAACACUAUUAAAAC
rnacentral:lncRNA from 1 species